GACGAACGCUGGCGGCGUGCUUAACACAUGCAAGUCGAGCGGUAAGGCCCUUUCGGGGGUACACGAGCGGCGAACGGGUGAGUAACACGUGGGUGACCUGCCCUCAGCUCUGGGAUAAGCCUGGGAAACCGGGUCUAUACUGGAUAUGACUCCAUGACGCAUGUUGUGGGGUGGAAAGCCUUGUGCGGCUGAGGAUGGGCCCGCGGCCUAUCAGCUUGUUGGUGGGGUGANGGGCCUACCAAGGCGACGACGGGUAGCCGGCCUGACGAGGCGACCGGCCACACUGGGACUGAGACACGGCCCAGACUCCUACGGGAGGCAGCAGUGGGAAUCUUGCGCAAUGGGCGAAGGCCCUGA
rnacentral:rRNA from 1 species